rnacentral:rRNA from 1 species
GAUGAACGCUGGCGGCGUGCCUAAUACAUGCCAGUCGAGCGAACGGACGAGAAGCUUGCUUCUCUGAUGUUAGCGGCGGACGGGUGAGUAACACGUGGAUAACCUACCUAUAAGACUGGGAUAACUUCGGGAAACCGGAGCUGAUAUCGGAUAAUAUUUUGAACCGCAUGGUUCAAAAGUGAAAGACGGUCUUGCUGUCACUUAUAGAUGGAUCCGCGCUGCAUUAGCUAGUUGGUAAGGUAACGGCUUACCAAGGCAACGAUGCAUAGCCGACCUGAGAGGGUGAUCGGCCACACUGGAACUGAGACACGGUCCAGACUCCUACGGGAGGCAGCAGUAGGGAAUCUUCCGCAAUGGGCGAAAGCCUGACGGAGCAACGCCGCGUGAGUGAUGAAGGUCUUCGGAUCGUAAAACUCUGUUAUUAGGGAAGAACAUAUGUGUAAGUAACUGUGCACAUCUUGACGGUACCUAAUCAGAAAGCCACGGCUAACUACGUG